UGGUUCAUUAAGAACAAGUGUGAUAAACAAGAUAACGAGUGCCUUGGUCAACGAUCUCAGAUAACUAUGUGAUAGAACCUCCUUUCAAGACAAUACGUGUAUAUAUGAAGAGAUUAAGUACAGACAUGCUUCCAUUAAUACUAUUAAUCAUUUGUACUCUUCAUGGUUUUAUUGAAGCUGAAACUAGUACAGCACGAUUUUGCAGUUUUUGCAAGUACAAUCCGUGUAAACAUGGGGUUUGUCACAACUUCUUUUUAUGGUUUGGAUGUACAUGUCACAAAGGUUAUGAAGGACACCUUUGCCAAUAUG